rnacentral:rRNA from 1 species
CCUACGGGAGGCAGCAGUGGGGAAUAUUGGACAAUGGGGGCAACCCUGAUCCAGCCAUGCCGCGUGUGUGAAGAAGGCCCUCGGGUUGUAAAGCACUUUCAGUGAGGAAGAACGCCUGGUGGUUAAUACCCAUCAGGAAAGACAUCACUCACAGAAGAAGCACCGGCUAACUCCGUGCCAGCAGCCGCGGUAAUACGGAGGGUGCGAGCGUUAAUCGGAAUUACUGGGCGUAAAGCGCGCGUAGGUGGCUUGAUAAGCCGGUUGUGAAAGCCCCGGGCUCAACCUGGGAACGGCAUCCGGAACUGUCAAGCUAGAGUGCAGGAGAGGAAGGUAGAAUUCCCGGUGUAGCGGUGAAAUGCGUAGAGAUCGGGAGGAAUACCAGUGGCGAAGGCGGCCUUCUGGACUGACACUGACACUGAGGUGCAAAAGCGUGGGUAGCAAACAGGAUUAGAUACCCCAGUAGUC